rnacentral:lncRNA from 1 species
UCUCUCUUGUUGUUUCCUUUUUUUCUGGUUUGUUUUCUCUACGUUUUUUGGUCUUUUCUUUUUGUGCAGAUGUGCUUCUCUUCCCCCUCCGAUUUUUGUCUGUGUGUGUAAUAUAUGGAGUGUUGGGUGAGGGAGUUGUGUUACAUAUGUGUGCAUGGAGGAGUGAAUUGUGGGAUCAUAGGGAGAGAUUAAGGGGAAGUAGGAAACGGGGGU